rnacentral:tRNA from 1 species
GCGGGCGUGGCGAAAUUGGUAGACGCGCCAGAUUUAGGUUCUGGUGGGGCAACCCGUGGGGGUUCGAGUCCCUCCGCCCGCACCA